rnacentral:rRNA from 1 species
AGGAUGAACGCUGGCGGCGUGCUUAAGACAUGCAAGUCGAACGGGUUCAGUUCCUUCGGGGACUGAGCUAGUGGCGGACGGGUGAGUAACACGUGAGCAACCUACCCCGAAGAUUGGGAUAACACCGGGAAACCGAUGCUAAUACCGAAUACCCCCACCGGGUCACAUGGCCUGAUGAGGAAAUGGGUUUCUGCUUCGGGAGGGGCUCGCGGCCUAUCAGCUUGUUGGCAGGGUAAUGGCCUACCAAGGCAACGACGGGUAGCUGGUCUGAGAGGACGACCAGCCACACUGGGACUGAGACACGGCCCAGACUCCUACGGGAGGCAGC